rnacentral:rRNA from 1 species
AAUGAACGUUGGCGGCGUGGAUUAGGCAUGCAAGUCGCGCGUGUACCCGCAAGGGGAAAGCGGCGUAAGGGACAGGAACACGUAGAUAUGUACCCCCGGGACCUGAAUAGCUGCGGGAAACUGCAGGUAAUGCGGGAUAACAUCUCCGGACCAAAGGUGUAAUUCCACCUGGGGAUCGGUCUGCGUCCUAUUAGCUUGUUGGCGGGGUAACGGCCCACCAAGGCAAUGAUGGGUAGCAGGUGUGAGAGCACGACCUGCGUCACUGGGACUGAGAACUGCCCAGACACCUACGGGUGGCUGCAGUCGAGAAUUUUCGGCAAUGGGCGCAAGCCUGACCGAGCGACGCCGCGUGCGGGAUGAAGGCCUUCGGGUUGUAAACCGCUGUCAGUGGGAAGGAAAUGCCGAUGGGUUCACCCUUCGGUUUGACUGACCCGCAGAGGAAGUGUGGGCUAAGUUCGUGCCAGCAGCCGCAGUAACAC